GGGGCUGACCGGUUUUGACAGCGUGUAGAGGUGGUGAGCAAGCAUGCAGAGCAAUGAUGGCUAUGCUCUUAAAACUCUGACAUCAACAAUUUUAAAUGGCGAAAACAACUACGCUCUUGCUGCUUGAUCGAAGUAUAGUAGAUCCGCUUAAUCUCCGCAACAGUUGCAGAGACAAGACAUCGCCCAAUCGUCCUUGUUCCGAGACAGAUUGAUCAGGCGGUGCAGGUAAAUCGGAAAUAGGGAAUGCCAUGCUCCGGGGCUUUCCCGAAAAUUUAGGAGAUAAGGAUAUCGUUGGCCGUUUUCAGCCUGCUGUGUCACGAAAACCAACUGAAAACUAAGCAUGUAGAAAACUCAUUAGUUCCACGUUUGGACGAGGGUUCAAGUCCCUCCAGCUCCACU
rnacentral:tmRNA from 1 species